rnacentral:misc_RNA from 1 species
UUUCCGUAGGUGAACCUGCGGAAGGAUCAUUAAAGAGUAAGGGUCUCUGGCCCGAACCUCCAACCCUCUGUUGUUAUAACUACUUCGUUGCUUUGGCGGGACCGCGAAGGUUCUCCCGAGCGCGCCAGUCUCCGGACAGGCGAGCGCCCGCCAGAGUCUAACCAAACUCUUGUUUUAAACCAGUCGACUGAGUAUAAAAUUUUAAUUAAAUUAAAACUUUCAACAACGGAUCUCUUGGUUCUC